UACGUAGGGCGCAAGCGUUAUCCGGAAUUAUUGGGCGUAAAGAGCUCGUAGGCGGUUUGUCGCGUCUGCCGUGAAAGUCCGGGGCUCAACUCCGGAUCUGCGGUGGGUACGGGCAGACUAGAGUGAUGUAGGGGAGACUGGAAUUCCUGGUGUAGCGGUGAAAUGCGCAGAUAUCAAGAGGAACACCGGUGGCGAAGGCGGGUCUCUGGGCCGAUACUGACGCUGAGGAGCGAAAGCGUGGGGAGCGAACAGG
rnacentral:rRNA from 1 species